UGGCUGAAUGGUUAAAGCGCCCAACUCAUAAUUGGCG
rnacentral:tRNA from 1 species